GCCGGGCGUGGUGGUACUCGCCUGUAGUCCCAGCUACUAGGGAGGCUGAGGUGGGAGAAUUGCUUGAACCCAGGAGGCAGAGGUUGCAGUGAGCCAAGAUCUGGCCACUGCACUCCAGCCUGGGUGACAGAGUGAGACUCCGUCUCAA
rnacentral:sRNA from 1 species